GACGAACGCUGGCGGCGUGCCUAAUACAUGCAAGUAGAACGCUGAAGCUUGGUGCUUGCACCGAGCGGAUGAGUUGCGAACGGGUGAGUAACGCGUAGGUAACCUGCCUGGUAGCGGGGGAUAACUAUUGGAAACGAUAGCUAAUACCGCAUAAGAGUAGCUGUUGCAUGACAUUUGCUUAAAAGGUGCAAUUGCAUCACUACCAGAUGGACCUGCGUUGUAUUAGCUAGUUGGUGAGGUAACGGCUCACCAAGGCAACGAUACAUAGCCGGCCUGAGCAGGUGGACGGCCACACUGGGACUGAGACACAGCCCAGAAUCCUACGGGAGGAAGCAGUAGGGAAUCUUCGGAAAUGGACGGAAGUCUGACCGAGCAAGGCCGCGUGAGUGGAGAAGGUUUUCGGAUCGUAAAGCGCUGUUGUAAGAGAAGAACGAGUGUAAGGGUGGAAAGGUCACACUGUGACGGUAUCUUACCAGAAAGGGACGGCUAACUACGUG
rnacentral:rRNA from 1 species